GACGAACCGAGCGAACGUUGUUCGGAAUCACUGGGCUUAAAGGGCGCGUAGGCGGGUCUUCAAGUCCGGGGUGAAAUCCCACAGCUCAACUGUGGAACUGCCUCGGAUACUGGGGGCCUCGAGGGUGGUAGGGGUAUGCGGAACUAUCGGUGGAGCGGUGAAAUGCGUUGAUAUCGAUAGGAACUCCGGUGGCGAAGGCGGCAUACUGGACCACAUCUGACGCUGAGGCGCGAAAGCCAGGGGAGCAAACGGG
rnacentral:rRNA from 1 species